rfam:Triticum aestivum genome assembly, contig: Triticum_aestivum_CS42_TGACv1_scaffold_375546_5AL
CAUAUACUCCCUCCGUCCCAAAACUCUUGUCUUAGAUUCUUCUAAAUACGGAUGUAUCUAAUACUAAAACAUGACUUGAUACAUUCGUAUUUAGACAAAUUUAAAACAAGAAUUUUGAGACAGAGGGAGUACCAU